GCAAGACCAGGCCACGGGUGUUCUGCUUGUCUCUGUGAGGAAUAAAGCAUCGGACAAACAUCUUCCCUUCAGCUCCUUCUUCUCUUUCACUCUCCCCGACGUCAUUUCCCAAACGGGAGUCCUGUGAGGAUGUUGAGAAACUUUCCAUGCUCCCGUGCAUACCCUCUGUGUGUGCACAACACUUAUUCCCCCACCCGCCACCUUGACCAGGAGAAAGAGAAUUCUGGAAUCAAAUGAAGCCCAGGUCCCUUUGCCUUUACGUGUCACUUUUCAUCAGAAGGUUGAGGGGAGGAGAGGUUUACUUUGCCUUACGAUUCCAGAGCUUUCGAAUCCAUCCUGGUGGGGAAGCCAUGCAAACCAGGAAGGCAGAGCAGGAAGCUGGCUGAUCACAUUAUCACC
rnacentral:lncRNA from 1 species